rnacentral:rRNA from 1 species
UACAGAGGGGGCAAGCGUUAUUCGGAAUUAUUGGGCGUAAAGGGCGCGUAGGCGGCCUUGCAAGUGGAAGGUGAAAUCCCUCGGCUUAACCGAGGAACUGCCUUCCAGACUGCGAGGCUUGAGACCGGGAGAGGUGAGUGGAAUUCCCAGUGUAGCGGUGAAAUGCGUAGAUAUUGGGAGGAACACCAGUGGCGAAGGCGGCUCACUGGACCGGUACUGACGCUGAUGCGCGAAAGCGUGGGGAGCAAACGGG